CCUACGGGUGGCAGCAGUGAGGAAUAUUGGUCAAUGGGCGCGAGCCUGAACCAGCCAAGUCGCGUGAGGGAGGACGGCCCUACGGGUUGUAAACCUCUUUUGCCGGGGAGCAACGGUCGGCACGUGUGCCGCCACUUAGAGUACCCGGAGAAAAAGCAUCGGCAAACUCCGUGCCAGCGGCCGGGGUAAUACGAGGGAUGCGAGCGUUUCCCGGACUUAUGGGGUUUAAAGGGUGCGUGGGAGGAUCGUUAAGCCAGUGUGAAAAUUUAGGGGCUCAACCCCUUCCCGCCAUUGAAACUGGCGCUCUUGAGUGGAAGAGAAGUAUGCGGAAUGCGUGGUGUAGCGGUGAAAUGCAUAGAUAUCACGCAGAACCCCGAUUGCGAAGGCAGCAUGCCGGCUUCCGACUGACGCUGAAGCACGAAAGCGUGGGGAUCGAACAGGAUUAGAUACCCCUGUAGUC
rnacentral:rRNA from 1 species